rnacentral:rRNA from 1 species
AGAGUUUGAUCCUGGCUCAGGAUGAACGCUGGCGGCGUGCCUAAUACAUGCAAGUCGAGCGAACGGACGAGAAGCUUGCUUCUCUGAUGUUAGCGGCGGACGGGUGAGUAACACGUGGAUAACCUACCUAUAAGACUGGGAUAACUUCGGGAAACCGGAGCUAAUACCGGAUAAUAUUUUGAACCGCAUGGUUCAAAAGUGAAAGACGGUCUUGCUGUCACUUAUAGAUGGAUCCGCGCUGCAUUAGCUAGUUGGUAAGGUAACGGCUUACCAAGGCAACGAUGCAUAGCCGACCUGAGAGGGUGAUCGGCCACACUGGAACUGAGACACGGUCCAGACUCCUACGGGAGGCAGCAGUAGGGAAUCUUCCGCAAUGGGCGAAAGCCUGACGGAGCAACGCCGCGUGAGUGAUGAAGGUCUUCGGAUCGUAAAACUCUGUUAUUAGGGAAGAACAUAUGUGUAAGUAACUGUGCACAUCUUGACGGUACCUAAUCAGAAAGCCACGGCUAACUACGUGCCAGCAGCCGCGGUAAUACGUAGGUGGCAAGCGUUAUCCGGAAUUAUUGGGCGUAAAGCGCGCGUAGGCGGUUUUUUAAGUCUGAUGUGAAAGCCCACGGCUCAACCGUGGAGGGUCAUUGGAAACUGGAAAACUUGAGUGCAGAAGAGGAAAGUGGAAUUCCAUGUGUAGCGGUGAAAUGCGCAGAGAUAUGGAGGAACACCAGUGGCGAAGGCGACUUUCUGGUCUGUAACUGACGCUGAUGUGCGAAAGCGUGGGGAUCAAACAGGAUUAGAUACCCUGGUAGUCCACGCCGUAAACGAUGAGUGCUAAGUGUUAGGGGGUUUCCGCCCCUUAGUGCUGCAGCUAACGCAUUAAGCACUCCGCCUGGGGAGUACGACCGCAAGGUUGAAACUCAAAGGAAUUGACGGGGACCCGCACAAGCGGUGGAGCAUGUGGUUUAAUUCGAAGCAACGCGAAGAACCCUUAACUAAACUUGACAUCCUUUGACAACUCUAGAGAUAGAGC